rnacentral:rRNA from 1 species
GACGUGACUUCAGAGUUUGAUCCUGGCUCAGGACGAACGCUGGCGGCGUGCCUAACACAUGCAAGUCAACGGGGUUGUUCCUUCGGGGACAACUUAGUGGCGAACGGGUGAGUAACGCGUGAGAAACCUGCCUUUCAUGGGGGACAACAGUUGGAAACGACUGCUAAUACCGCAUAAUGUCAUUUAAGGGCAUCCUUGAAUGACCAAAGAUUUAUUGCUGAAAGAUGGUCUCGCGUCUGAUUAGCUAGUUGGUGAGGUAACGGCUCACCAAGGCGACGAUCAGUAGCCGGUCUGAGAGGAUGAACGGCCACAUUGGGACUGAGAUACGGCCCAG